UACGUAGGUGGCAAGCGUUGUCCGGAUUUACUGGGCGUAAAGAGCGCGCAGGCGGUCGUUCAAGUCGCGUGUGAAAGCCCCCCGGCUCAACUGGGGAGGGUCACGCGAUACUGCUCGACUUGAAGGCAGGAGAGGGAAGUGGAAUUCCCGGUGUAGUGGUGAAAUGCGUAGAUAUCGGGAGGAACACCAGUGGCGAAGGCGACUUCCUGGCCUGUUCUUGACGCUGAGGCGCGAAAGCUAGGGUAGCAAACGGGG
rnacentral:rRNA from 1 species